rnacentral:tRNA from 1 species
AUAAAGUUUUAGUAUAAACAAGUAUAUUUAGUUGUCAACUGAAUGGUUAAAACUUU